rnacentral:rRNA from 1 species
AUUUUUUGUUUAGUAUAAGUGGUAGCUGUUUGAAUCCUUAACGCAAGUUAACUGAUUAGGCAAAAGUGAAAUCCCACUCUAAAAAUAAAAUUUAACUAAUUAAAUUGAAAGUGAAAGUUUUUUAGUUUGAUUGGGGCGAUCACCUUUUAAAUUGUAACAAAGGUCUGCAAAAGUAAGCUCAAAAUCAGUAAAAGCGAUUUUUAGAGUGUAAUAGCAUAAGCUUAUUUGACUGUAAGAUAAACAGAUCGAACAGAAAUUUUAGUUGGUUAUAGUGAUCCGAAAAUUUUGUAUGGAUAAAUUUUCGCUUACGGAAUUAAAGGUACUUUAGGGAUAACAGGCUUAUAACUUUUACGAGUUCGUAUCAAUAAAGUUGUUUGGCACCUCGAUGUCGGUUCGUCAUAUCCUAGUGCUGAAAAUUGGUGCUAAGGGUUCAGCUGUUCGCUGAUUAAAAUGGCACGUGAACUGGGUUAAAAACGCUGUAAAGCAGUUUGGUCCCUAUCUGUUUAUAUCAAAAAGAAUAAAAGAAUUUUGUUUCUAGUACGAG